rnacentral:rRNA from 1 species
UACGUAGGUGGCAAGCGUUGUCCGGAAUUACUGGGCGUAAAGCGUGCGCAGGCGGUUUUGCAAGCCGGAUGUGAAAUCCCCGGGCUUAACCUGGGAAUGGCAUUUGGGACUGCAAGGCUGGAGUGCGGCAGAGGAGACUGGAAUUCCCGGUGUAGCAGUGAAAUGCGUAGAUAUCGGGAGGAAUACCGAUGGCGAAGGCAGGUCUCUGGGCUGACACUGACGCUCAUGCACGAAAGCGUGGGGAGCAAACAGG